UACGUAGGGGGCAAGCGUUGCCCGGAUUUAUUGGGCGUAAAGAGCGUGUAGGCGGCCAGGUAGGUCAGCUGUGAAAACUCGAGGCUCAACCUCGAGACGUCGGUUGAAACCAUCUGGCUAGAGUCCGGAAGAGGAGAGUGGAAUUCCUGGUGUAGCGGUGAAAUGCGCAGAUAUCAGGAAGAACACCCGUGGCGAAGGCGGCUCUCUGGGACGGUACUGACGCUGAGACGCGAAAGCGUGGGGAGCGAACAGG
rnacentral:rRNA from 1 species